UGAGUACUCCCUCCGUCCAACAAAAAAUGACUCCAGUUUGUCAAAAUUUGCAUGUAUACAUGACUUAGUGUAUAAAUUUAAUCAAAGUUGAGACAUUCUUUGUUGGACGGAGGGAGUAUAUU
rfam:Brachypodium distachyon strain Bd21 chromosome 2, whole genome shotgun sequence.